AAAAGGGAGUUGCUUUUUCCUUUACUUUCCACAUCUGAUCACAAAGGACGGGGUGUUUCAAGCGCCGCGCGCGGCGAUAAUUUAGUGAUGCAUUGUAGCGGAGUGGCGCUGCUCUGAGACGCGCUUUAUCCUCGCGCUCCUCGGUCGGGCUGACAUUGCCACUGAUUCACCGCGGAGGAGCUCGUCCUCUCACUCCCCUAGGAGGAGAGCUCGUCCUUCCUUUACCCCCCACCAGCGCCUAUCGUCCCUUUUGAAAAACACAUCAAGUUUAAACUCUUCUCCGCUUCAUUCAUCCAUUCGUUUCGC